ACGAACGCUGGCGGCGUGCUUAACACAUGCAAGUCGCACGGAAAGGCCCUGCUUUUGUGGGGUGCUCGAGUGGCGAACGGGUGAGUAACACGUGAGUAACCUGCCCUUGACUUUGGGAUAACUUCAGGAAACUGGGGCUAAUACCGGAUAGGAGCUCCUGCUGCAUGGUGGGGGUUGGAAAGUUUCGGCGGUUGGGGAUGGACUCGCGGCUUAUCAGCUUGUUGGUGGGGUAGUGGCUUACCAAGGCUUUGACGGGUAGCCGGCCUGAGAGGGUGACCGGCCACAUUGGGACUGAGAUACGGCCCAGACUCCUACGGGAGGCAGCAGUGGGGAAUAUUGCACAAUGGGCGGAAGCCUGAUGCAGCAACGCCGCGUGCGGGAUGACGGCCUUCGGGUUGUAAACCGCUUUCGCUUGUGACGAAGCGUGAGUGACGGUAAUGGGUAAAGAAGCACCGGCUAACUACGUG
rnacentral:rRNA from 1 species